AGGCUCGUAGUGAAAUGGCUAUCACUUCAGUCUCCAAAACUGACAUUCUAGGUUCGAAUCCUAGCGAGCCUG
rnacentral:tRNA from 1 species